AAAUGCAUCAAAAAUAUUUUUAAAAUGAAUUUUAAAAGGGAAAUAAAAGAGAAAAUCCAUAAAGCCAUUCAAAACACCAAAUAAAUGGCUAGGAAAAUUAUGGAAGGUUAGAGAUAAAAAUAACAAACAUAAAAUAAUUUUUUCAGAAUUUUAAAAUGCAUAAAAGUAUUUUUAAACCAAUUAAAACAAAGGAAAAAGU
rnacentral:lncRNA from 1 species